GACGAACGCUGGCGGCGUGCUUAACACAUGCAAGUCGAACGGUGAAGCUCCAGCUUGCUGGAGUGGAUCAGUGGCGAACGGGUGAGUAACACGUGAGCAACCUGCCCCUGACUCUGGAAUAAGCGCUGGAAACGGCGUCUAAUACUGGAUACGAGAAGGGCCCGCAUGGGCACUUUCUGGAAAGUUUUUUGGUUGGGGAUGGGCUCGCGGCCUAUCAGCUUGUUGGUGAGGUAAUGGCUCACCAAGGCGACGACGGGUAGCCGGCCUGAGAGGGCGACCGGCCACACUGGGACUGAGACACGGCCCAGACUCCUACGGGAGGCAGCAGUGGGGAAUAUUGCACAAUGGGCGAAAGCCUGAUGCAGCGACGCCGCGUGAGGGAUGACGGCCUUCGGGUUGUAAACCUCUUUCAGCAGGGAAGAAGCGAAAGUGACGGUACCUGCAGAAGAAGCACCGGCUAACUACGUG
rnacentral:rRNA from 1 species